rnacentral:lncRNA from 1 species
AUUGAUUCGAGUUCAGCCAUUUCUUCUGGCGUUAGUUUGACAGACAGAGCUCCAACAUUCUGGUUGAAGUUUUCGAUCUUGGUGGUUCCAGGAAUAGGACAUACAUCAUCACCCUGGUGGUGUACCCAGGCUAACGCCAGCUGCGAUGAAGUGCACUGUUUCCUUGCUGCGAUUUCCUUAACCCGCUCAAAUAGUUGUGAGUUAUGUUCAAGAUUUUCAGGUCGGAACCUAGGCAAACCCUGAGACAAUUGAAACACUAGUUAAUUUCAGCAGCUAAGCCUGAAACAACUCGUCAAGAAGAAAGCAUCAUAGAUUACAGUUUAUGCAACAUUCCAGAUGUACUUGUAACAUGUCCUUUUUGCCAUAACAAAACAUUAAUCCUAGUACUAAACGCAAACCAUCAUGAUAUUGUAUACCACGCAGUUUUUUAUGGGUGCAAGCACGCCAAAUUCCCAUGUACAAGGCGAGUGAGCAGAUUUUGGGAAUCCAGAAGUACUGAAGAAUGAAUAUCAGAGAGAAAGAUUUAAGCAAAACAUUAAGUAUGCAGAACUUUUUGUUUGGACAUGCAUGGGACAAACUAAAGCCACCUGUCUAAUACAAGGAGAUCCUGUAAAUCUGUGUUUUAUUUGAUUGAAUCUUUAAGCAAUCCAAGUGUAUAGCAUAUUUGUAGGAAUAAUGCAAAUGUGAAAGAACUGCUAGGUAAAAUAUAAUGAUCUCAAAGCUAAACUUUUACUUUGUGCAAGUUUCUUCUAUGGAGUUUAGACCACCAAACCACUCCAUAAGAUGGAAGAGACUAUUUUCUGAGGCAUCUAAGCUAACCAAUAUAUUGUCAAAAACUCGUUACUUAAAAGUUUAUUAGGUGAGUUUUCAAGAACGGUUUUAUAUUAUUCUGUAACGCAUAUAACAGUCAAAGGAGGAAAUGUGAUUUGUGACAUUCCUUCCUUUCCAAACUGUAAAAGAUUAUGCUUGUACAAUUGGUUAUUUACUGGACAUGUAUUAUACAGAUCACAAACUCUAUAUUCAAAAAGAAAAGAACCUACCUUUCUGUAGUCACCAUCUGUAAAGCUCUCAACCAACUUAGGCCCAGAGGAAAAGAAUCCCCGUCCUAGAGGACUGUAAGCAACAAUCCCAAUGCCAAGUUCUCUGAACCAUUAGAAUGAUAAGAUCAGAAUCUGGAUAUCUAAGGCAUCCCAUAAACAGCCUAAGGUUUCGGUUAUUUUGAUCUCCAAAGGAAAUUAGUUUUUCUCAUCAAUGCCUCACCUGCAGGUAGGAACAAUCUCUUCCUCCACAUCUCUUGACCACAGUGACCACUCCAACUGCACGGCUGUUAUCGGAUGAACAGCGUGAGCUCUUCUGAUUGUUGAAGCAGAGGCCUCAGACAGACCUAUAUACUUUAUUUUACCUUCUUCAACUAGUUUCUUGAGUUCCCCCAUCUAGCAAAGAAAAGAAUUAUGAGUGCACGACUGCAAGAAAAUUUUCAGCUAGAAUGCAGGGACAGAACCCACUAUUAGCAUUGUCGGCAUCCAACUACGAAAGAGACCAUUGCAAGAUGUCAAUGCACAUAAUGAGCAUGACGGUAUUAUCAGUAACAUGUCUAAUCUAUAAUUUUAGUGGGUUUAUGCUCAAGUUUUAGGGAUUUUUGGAUAUGCCUGUCACAGAUUCUGGAAAAUAUAUCAUCAAGUAAAAGAAAAAUUCUCUAACUAUCAUCAUGGCCAUCGAACGAUCAAGAUUAAUCAGAACAAUAUUCAGAAAUAAAAACAAUUAAAGAGAAAUACCGUAGCUUCAAUAGGAACGCUGGUAUCAAUGCGAUGUUGGUAAUAAAGAUCAAUGGAUUCAAGUUGAAGGCGUUUCAAGCUGGCCUCACAAGCAGCUCUCACAUAAUCAGGAUCCCCUCGAAUCUCAAAACUGCCGUCCUUAAAGCUGGCGCCAAAUUUGGUGGCCAAUUCAACUCUCUGUCGUAAUCCUCCCGCCUUCAAGGCCUUGCCCAGAAGGAUUUCGUUGGUGUGGGGUCCAUAGACAUCAGAGGUGUCGAGUAAAGUGACCCCGGUGUUGACGGCAUGGUUGAUGAGGGCGAUCAUGUCCGAUUCAGGCUUUGGAGGGCCGUAGGCGCCGAAAGACAUGCCCAUGCAUCCAAGUCCCUGUGCUGAUACUUCAAGACCCUGUGACCCCAGCUUGAUCCUUUUCAAUGUUGCCAUCUCUCUUGUUCUUAAGAACUCUAUUGUUAAUUGACACAAUGGCGAAGCAGUUGAAACGAAACCGCAAUAAAUAGAGAAAGGGUGUGCGAGCGCGCGGACGAGACUAAUAUCUAACGUCAGCACCCACGUACUGGAAGUAGCACAGGAUUGUUUGGGAAUUUGAUUUGUCGUUUUUAAAAUAUUUUUUUAUUUAAAAAUAUAUUAAAAUAAUAUUUUUAACAUUUUCUUAGAUAUAUGUGAUCAUUUUAUAUGAAAUUUUUAUGCAGAUUAGUUCAAUAUACAUGUUUUAUGACAAACACUUAUAUAUUAGUUUUAGAUUUUUCUUGUACCUUAACUUAUGAGAACAACUGUUUCCUUUCAUAAAAAAAAAAGGAACAUAAUAUGUACAAUUCUCUACGACUCUAAUAAAUAUCUAGUGUUUAAGAGAACAUCGACCAAGAACAUUUUAAAAAUAAUGUUUUGAUGCAAUAAUAAUCUCAUAAUUAUAACAACUUUAUAAUUUUCUUUGUAAAGUAUUUUUGUCAUAUGAAUUUUAUUUUUACAGUAGAUUUAUAAAUCAUAUGUUAAAUUUAUUAAUCUAAUAUUAUAUAAAUAUUAAAUACAAAUUAACUCUUUAUUAAUAAUAAAUAUAUAUUUAUACAAAUAUAAUAAUAUUAUGUGUAAUUAGUUAAUUGACUAACUGAUCGGCAAUGGCAUGACUCUCUCUAUCUCUUCUAGACACAUUGAAAUUCCAACGCAAACGUUAGUCAAUAAACUCGUCUAGAUAUUUAGUCUAGAAUCUAGAUAUUUAGUGAUUCACUUAUCCUUUUCAAAUCUAAUUUAAAUCUAGCUGAUUCAAUAUAAAAUAAAUAAAUAAAUAAAUAAAUAAAUGAUACUUUGAACAAUUAUUUUUAGGUAAGUCUUUAUAUCGAGUAUAUAAAAUUUUUAGAAAUGAUACUUUGAAUAAUUAUUUGCAAGUUUUUAUAUUGAGUUUGACAUAUAUAAUAUAAAAUUUUUGGUCACUCUCAACAAUUAGAAAAUAAAUAAAUAAAUAAUACUUUGAACAAUUAUUUUCAGGUAAGUUUUUAUAUCAAGUAUGAUAGAUAUAAUAUAAAGUUUGGCAUUGACAUGCAAAUGCUGGACUAUAUUAUAUACAUCAUUCAAUUAGUGCAUGAUCACAAAUUCCGCAACUUGUUCUUCACUGUGCAUAAAGCAUAGAUUUUAAAUCCAAGUAUGGACUGGAAGAUUUACAUGGAAAACUUGUAAUUUCAAGUUUAAUAAAAAAUAGUAUUAUUGGUGUUAUAAAUAUUAUUAUUUUUAGUAUAGUUAGUGGUAUUAAUAUUAAAAAUAAUAUUAUUUUUAUUAUGUUUGAUGGGGACAUGGUGAGGCUGCAGCCUGCAGACCCCAAGCGCACGCCCACUGGGGCUGCGGACAUUUGACGCUUGGCUGCUAGGCCUGGGCGGUGGGCAGACCACGCCCACUGUCCAUGCCCUAGGCUGCAACCACCUGAUGCUUGGUCUACCCAACCUUGGGCACUGGGGGCACACCUGCUCACCUGGCUGCAACCCCAAUUGGCUUGGGUCCUGCGUUAAGACUCAAUGUUCCUGGUCCUGCGACAAGACUUAUUUCUUUUAGAUCAUAACGCAGGACUUAAUGUUCUUGAGUCUUGAGUUGUGUUAUAAACAUUAUUAUUUUUAUUAUAAUUCAAUAAUUCUAAGUAUUAAUAUAAAAAAUAUUAUAAAGUUUAUGUACGUAAUUCUAAAAUAUUAUAAAAAAUGUUAGAGAAUAAUUCUAAGUUGUGUAUGUAAGCAUGAAAACCUCGUACCUAUCACCCUGAACAACACCUGCACAAGCGAUGGAUUCGAGUUCUGCCAUUUCAUCUGGUGUUAUUUCACGUUGCCUGUUAUGCUCCAGAUUUUCUGGACGGAACCUAGGCAGAUCCUGAGACAAUUACUGCAACACAAAUUCAGAAGCUAAGCUUCAGAAAACUCAUCAAAAAGGAAAUCAUCGUAGGUGUAAAGUUUAUGCAAGGCGUUCCAUAUGCACUUGUGACAUUCCUUUUCUAACUAUAAGGUCUUAUGCUACGACAACUGGUUAUUUACUGCGCAAGUACUAGUCGGAAACUUAAUUUUCACAAAGAAGCGUACCGACCUUUCAAAUGUCACCCUCUGAAAAGCUCUUAACUAGCUUAGAUCCCGAUGAAAGGAAUCCCCGUCCUAGGGGACUGUAGGCAACAAUCCCAAUGCCAAGUUCUCUUAUAAAUUAGAAUGACAAAUUUCAUGGCAUGCAAGGCGGAAUGACAGGUUUUUCUCUGAAUAGAAGAGGUUUUGAAUUUGAUCAUAAAUUGUGAUUUUGAAGGAGUUGUUGUCUGUUAUUAUUUUACUAAAAAACUUAUUGGUUUGCGAGAGUUUAAGUAAGAGGACCAGUUGUAUAAGAAAAAGACACAUCAAUCCAGUGCACCUUAGUUGUAUUAUUGAUUGAUUGUUAUUUUAAGCCAUAUUUCUAUUCGUUGGUCUCAUUUAAAGUUCGAGGUAGAUCUUUUUUUAUGAGGAAGUCACUACCCUAUCGGGUUAAAUCCUAACCAUUCUAGAAUUCAAAUUUUAGUAUCACAUUUAUUUUCUACUUUGUAUCUUUAAUAUCUCAGGAUAUACUUUACAAUGUAAUUUUAUACCCUUAAAUAAUAAAGUCUAGAACUAAUUUCUAAUGUUUAUUGCUAUUAACCCAUUUAAUUUAAUAUUGGAAGUAUGUAUUACAUUGUAAAAUUCAUAUCCUGAAUAUUAAUUAAACAAAUUAAUUUUUGUGGUAUUUUUGAGAUUUUGGCUAAAUCUUAAUGAAUAAUCAUAAAUCGAUUACGAUAUUUAUUUGUAUUUUUAAAACAUGAUAAAAAUUCAAUUUGUUUUUGAAAAUAUAUGUGAAAAGAUUUUUAGAAUUUGAUCGUAUGCACGUGAACAAAACAUAUAUAUAUAUAUUUUUAUUUUUGAAAGGAGGAUAUUUUUUGAAUUUUUGGAGAAAAAUCAGUUAUUUUUAAUACGAGUCAGUAUCAUACAAUGUAAGUCUAUAACCUGAUAUUAAAUAGAAUUGUUGAAAAAACACACGAGGGACCCAUAAAUAAUUUUAAAAUGAUCCUUGAAUUUUUUUCCUACUUUUCCGAACUAGUUUAGGGCAUGACUAAACACUACAAUAAUGACAAGAUAAAGAUAAAGCUAAGCUAAAGGAAAUGGUAGGAGGACGUGCUUGCUAAACGUGUCUUUAUCCUAAAAUCAGAGGCAUUGAAAAUGCUUUAAGGCUGUGUUUUGCAAACAUGUCUUAAGGAAAAAAAAAGGCAUUUUUCCUUCGGCAAAAUAGGGCAUGUCAAACACACAUUUAAGGUUGGGUUGGGUUUGGCCCAACCACAUGGGCUGGGCUUAUUAGACCCGAGGCCCAAGCUUAACCUGAUUUUGGGCCGACAGAUGACCCAACAAGCUUCUUCUCCUUUUUGUAUAUAUAUGGAUUGGACCCAGCCCAGUCGCGAGGGCUGGGCUUGGAUUUGGCCCAUUCAGCUUUGUUAAUGGCCCAACCUAGUGACAUUACCUUCGCUAGCAAAUGCAAACAACAUAACGUGAAUUAUUUCACAUUUUGCAUGCACAAAAAGAUGUACUAUAUGUUUUAAAAGGACGAAGAACUCAAGCAAUUCCUAUGAACAAAAACCAUUUUGAUGCUAGUUUAAAACAAACUUGUUUAAAAAAGAACUCGGGCGAUUCACAUAAAUAAGGUUUCUUGAAGGUUGAAUUUCUCUAUGGUAUUGAAGUGCUCAUUUUACUUGUAUAAAUAAUAAAGCAUAAUCAAAGUUUCUUGAAGAGCUCAUUUCACAUGGGAAAGCAUCGUUUACCAAUCCAGAUUGCUUGCCUUUGAUUAAAAAGAGCUUUAUUGGGCACGCAACGUAGGAUUUGGCUUUUGGUCAUGAAAGGAAAUGAUAUUUGUAGGCUCAAAAGGUGUUUAAGAGAUCUUAAAACCAAUGAUCACUAAAUCUCGUUCCCAAACCUUUUUUUUUUGUCAAAGGAUUCCUAGAUCUUAGGGUUGACUAUGCAAAAUAGUUUGACAUGCCCCUAGUGUUUGGACUAUUUGACUUUGAGUGUCAUCAUCAUACUAAUUAUUUCCAUUUUGCAUGGCAUGCUCAACCUUUUUGAAUCUUUGAAUUUCUUCAUGCUCUUGCUUUGUUUGGGCACCUUUGAUAAUUGAGGAUUAUUUUGUAUAUUCUUGCGGUCAAAUUGCUUUUCUAAUCUUGGUACGUUCCCUCAAUAUGGGGUAUGAUCCUAGUCAUGGUUGUUUUGCAAGAAAGACCUACUAGGCUCAAUGAGGACUUGCAAAUGAUAUUUUUUUAAAGUAUUGUGAAGGAUUAUCAAAGAUGACAUUCUCUUAUUUCAAACAUAUGAGUUUAGGAUUAGUAAGCUUUGCUUUUUUUUUUUUCAUUGUGAUUGUUUGGUCAUGCAAAAUUGUUUUCAUCAUAUUUAAAUUAUGAUUGUUAUUCAGCCAACUAAAACUCAGUUUCAAAGUCAUUUAAAUGGUUUGGUUACCUCACUAGGAGAUCACUUGAACUCGCAAAACUCACUUGUAAAAAACAAACACUAAUUUUACCUCUGUAUUUGUACUAAUAACUUUGAUUUUCCAAAAAAUAUUUUUAUAAAAACACAAAAAUGAGGUUUUUUGAGCCUAUGAGAUCAUGUAAAGCUUUUUAAAGUUUACAAAAAGAAAGUGCACCAAAACAUUCCUGGCCAAACUUUGAUCUUUAUUGAUAUAUCGACAAAGUACAUCAUGUAUAAUACUUCUUUAUAAUGUUAGAGUUUACAGGGUUAGGUAAAUCAUCUCCGUCCAUCUUGGUCAAAACCAAGGCUUCUCUGGAAAAGGCUUUACUCACCACAUAUAGUCCUUCAUAUUUUGAUGCCCAUUUGCUCUGAUCUUCUCCUGAUGUUGGUAAGAUCUUUUUCAAUACCUGGUCUUCUUCUUUGAAUACCCCUGUUCUGACUCUCUUGUUGUAUGUCUUAACCAUUUUGCUCUAGUAUAGUUAAUGAUGACAAAUUACUACCAAUCUCUUCUCGUUGAUCAAACUCCACUACUCAAAUUUCAUAUUUGCAUAUUCUGAUUCUUCUAGUUUUGCAUCAUUUAGAACCCUUAAUGAUAGAAUUUCCACUUUUAAAGGUAUUAUCGCUUUUAUCCCAUAUACCAAAAAGUAAAGGGUUGCACCUAUAGAAGUUCUAAUUGUGGUGCAGUAUGCGUAAAGUACGUAUGAAAGCAUCUCGUGCUAGUCUUUGUAGGUGACUAUUAUUUUAUGGAUGAUCUUUUUAAGAUUUUUGUUGGCUGCCUUGACAUUACCAUUCAUCUUGGGUAUGUAAGGAGAAUAAUUAAAGUGCUUAAUCUUACACUUGGUGUAGAGUUCAACAAUCAUCUUCCCAUUAAAAUUUUGAGCAUUGUCAGCUAACAAUUUUUCUAGCAAGCCAUACUGACAAAUCAAAUCUUUCUUGAUGAAUCUCUUGACCAUCUUUUGUGUCACAUGUGCAUAAGAGUUGGUUUCUACCCAUUCAGUGAAGUAGUUAAUGGCCACCAAGAUAAAUUUAUGCCCAUUGAUGGCAUUUGGAUUGAUUGAUCCUAUGACAUCUAAUCCAUACAUAUUGAAAGGCCAAGGCAAGGUCAUAUUGAAUAGGGGUGCCGAAUGUGUAUUUAUCUUAUCCCUAUAUAUCUAACACUUAUAAAAUUUCCUAAUAUAGUUAACACAAUCCCUUUUUAUAGUCAAUCAGAAGUAUCUAAAUCACUGUAUUUGUCUUAUCAUUAUAUGCCUAUUAACAUGAGUGGCACAAAUUCCCUCACGGACCUCUUGUAAAGCUUGCUCAACCUAUUUCUCAUUUAAACACCCAAGUAAAGUCUCGUCGAAUGACCUCCUAUAUAAGAUUUUACAAUCCAAGUUAUAAUCCAUGGUCAUUCUUCUCAAAGUCUUUUCAUCCGUCUUGGAGGCUCCUAAAGGAUAUUCUCGAUGCCGGAUACCAUGGUUUUUCAUUUGUUGUCUCUUCAAGUGAGCAAUAAUGAGCUUGAAAAUUUUUGACUUCAAUGUUUAUUGGUUGAAUCUUGCCCCCAAUAUCAAUAUGUGUCAUCAAAGUGAAGGUGGCCAAGGCGUCGAUAAACUGAUUCUUAUAUCUGCUCAUAUGAUUGGAUUUUAUCUCAUCAAACUUAUUAGCCAACGUCAAAAGAUAAUCUUGGUAUGACCUUAGUUUCAUCCUUAGUUUGCCAUUCCCCCUUCCCUUGGUAGAUAAUUAGUAGUGAAUCUUCAUGAACAUUGAGUUUUCCAACUUUCAGCUCUAAAACAGCUUCUAGACUGAUGAUGCAAGUUUUAUAUUCAUCCAUGUUAUUGUUGCAUUCAAAUUACAACCUCAUCAAAACAUGGUACAACUUCUUUUCUGGAUAAAUUAUCACUGCUAUAGCCCAUUUCUCUAAUAUAUUCAUUACUCCAUCAAAAUACACGGUUCACCAAUUGUUCAACUCAUCGUCAUCCUUAAUUGCUAAUACAUGCUCAUCAUAAAAUUCAAAAUCUAGUGACUUAUAGUCUUCCACAACAUUAUCUGUAAAAUGGUCAAUAAUUGCACUUCCCUUUGUCAUAACCUAAAUUUAGAUUUCCCCUAAAAUUACCAUUGUAUUUUAAAAUGAAAAGCAACUAAAAAAUAAAAAAUGAAAAAUGAAAAAGACUAGCAACUUGGCAAAAGCAAGCUGAAAAGGGUUUCAAAUGCAUGAAAGAACCAAGCUGAAGUUUUAGACAAAAUUGAAAGUCUAAUUAUACCCAAUUAUACCCAAGACUAAAUGAGAAUGCAAAUUCAAGGUCAAACUAAAUGAUUAUUGGAUGAAUUAGCAUAAAAAUUAAGUCUAAGGAUUUAAUUAGACUUUUAAUAGGCUAAUUUUAUUUAAUCAUAUGCCGAAUUAAAUAAUUAAUUAAGUUUAAGAAUUAAUUUUGAUCAAAUUAAAAGAAUUAAUAAAGUGCAAAUACUUAAUUAGACUCUUAAUGGGUUAAAUUAAUUUUACUAGGGACUUAAUUGGAGAAACGUUAACUUUGGAAGCCUAAUCUAGGCUUAAUUGAGAAGAUUGAAAUUUUAGAGGAUGAAAUUUAAUUUUUACCAGCUCAAUCGGCCAAAAUUAGGAACAAAUUGCAAGAAAAUCAAAGUUUGGAGAUCAAAUUGAAAAAUUUUAAAAACCAAGGACCACUUUAUAAAAAACAUAAAAAUUUAAGGGUUUAAUCGACGAAGGCAAGGGAAAAAUUGCAAGGAAUCCAAAAGAUUAGGGCUAAUUGGAGGUUUAAUUACAAAGUUCUAAAGGCUUAGGGACCAAAUUGAAAAAUACAUUAUUUCACUAUUCAUCAUCUUUUUCCCAUUUAAACAAGAGAAAAAAGAUGUCAAGUGCCCACUUUUCAACCCUAAUUUCUCCCUCACCUUUCUCCAUACCACACAAAUCUUAUACUAACUUAUACCUUAAUAUUUGUACUUUACUCUAAGCCAAAAUUCCAGGUCCAAUGGCACCUAAAACACUUGUAGAUUCACUACAAAAACACUAUCCAACAUUGUUCUACCUGCAAAAACAGCCUUGUAUUCUUUCUUUGUCAGUUGCAGAGUAGGACAAGCUUUUGUCCAUACCAUGAAAUAUUAUUCCAUCUCAUAUCCUGGAAGUUUUGAUUCACUCAAAGUCAAAAUUCCACCUCUAAUAGCAUCAAAGCCAUCUGCAGAUUCUCUCUUAGAAAAGCUACCUAGGACUAUUCUACCUGUAAAAAUAGCCUUGGUCCCCCUAUUGUUAGUUGCAGAUCAGGACAAACUUUUGUUCUUAGCUGCACUAAAUGGCUGAGAUCUAUUCUCUAACAUCAAGGGUCAAUAUCCUAUUAAUCCAUGAACCAUAGAACCUCUCCGUUUCUCCGAUAGAAACCCUCUCAUACUCUCUUUCCAUUGGCAAUAAAUUUACCCACAAGUUCACGAACGAAAAUGCUCUGUUGGUAAAACUCUCGUCAGUAAUUUUUAGCAUGUUGGUGAGUCUAUCUGUAAUAAAAUGAUGGAUUUAUUGACGGAAAAGGCAGGAAAAAAAAAACAUACCCACUUCAUUCUGUCAGUAUUCCCUAAAGAAUUUUGCCAUAUAACCGACAGAAAUACCGUAUGUAAUUCUGUCGGUGAUUAAACAAUGACACAAUGACAUUUGCAGUAAUUCUUUUUCAACUUUCUGGAAUAUACCGACGGAUGAAAUCCAUCGGUAAUACUGUCCGUCUUUAUUUAAAAAUAUUUUUUAAAAAAUCUAUUUAAUAGAAGCAAAGAAUAAUUAAAAUAAAAUAAAUUAAUAUAAAUCAACACUCGAUAAUACUUAGGAACUAAGUUGCAAGGAAAAAGAAGAAGAAUAAAAUCAACUCAAACAAAUUUGCAACAAAUAAAUAACAUAAAAAAUAAACAACAACAACAAAUAAAUAAAUCAAUGAAAAAAAUCCUCUUAACCUAGAAAACCUAUUUCAAAACCCAUAAUCCAGUAACAAAUAAAUUAAUUUAAUUGAAAUUGAACAAAUUUGAAAAACAAAAUCCAACUAAAAUAUAAUAAAAUUGAUCUUAUAUGAAAAAAAAAUCUUACAACAACAUUCAUACAAUUAUUAAGAAUAGAAAAAUUUAAAAAUAAAAAAACAAAUAUAAUGUAAAAAAACACAAAAAAGAAAAGAAAAAAUAAUUCAUAAAGUAUGUUAAUUAAAAAAAACUGACAAGAAAAAAGAAGAAAGAGAAGAGAAGACAUACCUGCGCUUGGAGAAGAAGAGAAAAGAAGAGGAGUUGAAGAUAGAAGAGAAAGAAACAAAGGGAUGUUGGUGUUUUUUAUAUAAAGGGAGAAAAAGAAGAAGAAUAAGAAAAAGAAGAGGCAUGUUUGUUAUGAAAAAAGGGAUUAUGGUCUUUUUACUAGGGCAUUUUACCGAUGGUUUUACCGACAUAUAAUUAAAUAUUAAUAUUUUUAAUCAUUUUAUUAGUGAUUUCAUCUAUAAUAUUUAAUUUAAAUCUUCAAUUUAAUCAAAAAAUUUCAGAAACCCUAAAACAAUCACCGACAACUUUUCAAUCCAUCGGUGAUUCUAUCUAUAAUUUUUAAUUCACAUUUUCAAUUUAAUAAAUUUUUUUUAGAAACCCUCUAAAUGUCACUGACGACCUUUUAAUCCAUCGGUGAUUCAAUCUGUAAUAUUUAAUUCAAAUUUUUAAUUUGAUAAAAAAAUUAAGAACCCUCCAAAUAUCACCGAUGACUUUUCAAUCCGUCUGUGAUCCCGUCUAUAAAAAACAAUAAUUAAUAGUGCAAUUAAAAAAUAAACAAUUAUAGAACUCUAUGGAAAAUACCAACAAAAUUAAUCCGUUGGUGAUCCUGUAUGUAAUUAACACAAUGAACAGUGUCAGGGAGAAGGGAACAAUUCCAGAGCUCUGAGGAACCUUUUACUAACAGGUAUACGGACAGAUUUUACCAAUGGUAUUAAUACCGUCGGUAUAAAUAACACGUCAUCAUACUUUUUUGCUUUUUUUUAAUCCUUUUUUUUCCAUUGUAAUUCCCUCAGUAUAUAUCAAAGGAAUAUUUAUGUUGGUGUUUUUCGAUGGAUAUUGACACGAACAAAAGAAAUGAGGUUAUUUGGACUUCUAGAACUCGAGAUAUGGGCUGAACACUGAACAGUGUCGAGGCUGUAGGACAGAUUCCGACUUCUCUGUUGUUGCUACCAUUUGAACUUGAAAAUAGUCCUUUUGAAUCUUGGACUCCUCAUGAAAGUUUUAGGCCUAUGUCUUAGCUUUCUAUCCAUAUAAACCAGACCUAAAUCCAAGUUCUACAGCUCUAGUUAUGAUCCAAUAACCAAAUGGUGUUCCAAUUUGAAUUCAACCAGCAUCUCUUUUCUAAGCUUAGCCCUCUCUUUGUCUUCUCAAUUUUAGUAGUUAAACUCAUCAAUCAAUCAUUUGAUUUAUGUGAUAGGCCUGCAUUUAAAAUGAAUAUUUACCAUAAAUUAAAGGUAUCUUAUAUUAUCAGACUUGUUAUUAUAAAACAUGCUUUAGUUAAGGAGUUAUUGAUACUUCAAGUGCAAAAUGAUGAUAUAAAAUCUUGAUAAAAAUUCACUUUUAAGUACUAAUCAGAUAUAACGAGGGAAUAUUCUGUUGGUAGAAUUCAAUGCAAUUUACCAACAAAAACAUUCUAUUGGUGUUGCCAUUUGUAUUUGCUAAUUUUUUGGUAGUGAAAGGGAAAUAAUGCUUGCAAUUGAAGGCUCCAUAGUGGCAAGAUUCACGAUAGCAGCAAUAGGGGAAGGUUGUACGUCAACAACAACAUGAGAAGAUUCCAAAGCAGAGGGAGAAGAAAAAGACUAAGGAUUCACAACAGCAGCAGGAGAAGCUUUCUAAGCAGAGGGAGAAGAAAAAUUCUACACCAUAGGUUGAGAUGAAGAGUCCAUUAGAGAAAAGAAAAGAAAGUUUUAAAGUGUAAUGGCUCUAAUAUUAACUUGAGAAUAAUAUGAGAUUUAACCUAUUAGUUAGCCAACCGUUCUUAUUUAUAUAUGUAGGGAAAUGUACAAUGGUUAAUGUAGAGAUUACAACACAAGAAUACUAAAACUUUCCUAAAUAUAUUUAUACAAGCCUUUAAUAUAUAAUAUAUUAGAUUAUUAGAUUACACAAACAUUUAUUCUCUUUCUUAGGGCUGAGAUGCAAUUCAUUAGGCUAAGCUCUAAUAUGGAAUCCAUUGCUUUUUCCAUCGAUCAAUAACUAACCUAAAAUGGGUUUUUUUUUUCUAUCUUUUAAACCAAUUUGUCAUCACCCAGUUUUUGAACCCUAGUUUUCAUCCUUUUCCAAAAAAAAAUACAAAACUCACAAAAAACGUGUUUUCAACGCGAUUAGACCAAUGAACAACUAUUUCAUAAUUUUCAACCUUUUUACAUAUUGUUUUUGCAUUUGCAAGUUUUAAAAAUAAUAAAUAAUAUUUAAAGUCUUGUGGGUUUGUGCCUGUUGCACGACAACCCUAAUGGUAUGAUGUCAUCAUGGAAUUUAUUUUUAUGGUGAAAUAAGGUUGAAAAUUAAUACCCCGCAAUGAGGUUGGAUGGAUUGGAUUGCAAAAGCUUUAUCUGAUGCAUAAUAGUUUGGUCUCGAUGUGGAUUUUAAUAUAAGUUUGAUUUUUUGUGAGUUUUAAUGUGCACUGAUCUAUUUGUUAAAUUAUGAUUUUUGGUGAUGUUAUUUUUAAAUUGUGAAUUUUAUUAUGUGUUGUCAUUUUUUUUUUGUGAAAUUUGUAUGUGCAUGCCUGAUUUUCAUUAUGUUUAAUUUUUUUCAUGAUGAAUUUUUUGAAAGUGUUUCCACAUAAAAAGCUAAAAAAACAUAAAAAUCUAUGAAUAUAAAAAAAAAAUGACAUGUUCAUUUAUUUUAUUUGUGUAUUUAGAAUAGGCAAACUUUAGCAUGUAAGAACAUUAAACACAUUUUAUCAUUGAAAAUAAACAACAAUGUAGCUUACCUUAAAUAUGAUGUAUAAGAUGAUGUCUAUCUUCUAUAUUACAUAACCAGCCCCUCACCUAGAACCUCUAAAGACUAAUUAGAAUUUCUAGUUACUAUAAAAUUAGGUGGUGACCCUUUUUCAUAUUUUUUUACCCUUUUUACAUGUAGCUCGCCUCGAUAUCCCCUUCGACACCACUAAUCCAAACCCACCAAAGCACUAAACUUUUGUAAUUUCCAAGACCCCAUUUUAGUACUCAUUUCACUAGAGUUAGAAUUUUCAAGUUCCCUUAAAAGGGGUUUUUUUGGUUCAUCCUAAUAACCAAAACCCAAAACUUGAUUUGACUGAAAAUGAAUCCAACCCCAUAAAAGAAAUAAUUUUGUUCUUUAUCCUCUUUUAUGUUUUUACUUAGUAAAUUAAAUCUAGCCUCCAAGAAGAAUCCAAAGACUAAAGAACCUUAAUUCAACAAAAACCCAACAUCUCAUUCUCCAAAAAUAGGUUUUGCGGCAAUAGAUCUGGAUGAAAUGAAUAUAAGAAUCUAGUGACAAGAAAAGAUAACCAUGGUAAACCAUGAAAUCAUAUGAGAGAAAUCGAUUAUAAUCACUGGUUUUUUUUUUUUGUUCGAUUUGGGUUUAAAAGGAGAGAAAUCGAUUUUUUAGUGAGAAGUUUUUUAGUUUAUUGAUGAGAAAGAAGAAGUUAUCUAUCAUUUGGGUUGAUUUUUAAUAUAAUAUAGAUGGGGGUAUUUUGGUAUUUCUGUUGAAUUUAGAAUUUUUCUUUGACAUGUGAUGGAAAUUGUAAUUUUUCAAAACUUGGUAAGCAAGUUGAAUUUUGACCAAACUAUAAGAUGCUAAGGGUAAUUUUCCAUUUAAUAUUUUAAGACUUGAGGGCUCUUUAGUCAUUAAUUAGAAUAUAAUGACAAUCUCGUAGAUAAUUUAAACUAUUUUGUUAACUUUUUUUAGCGAAGAUGUAAAGUAUUGUACAACUUUAAAAAUUAUUGACUUUAGAUGUAAACUGUAAUUUUUUAAAAAAUAAAGACAAAGCGAAAAAAAAUUUAAAUUAUAAAUGAAAAAUCACACUUGGCAUCCUAAUGUUUGGCACGAAUUGCAAUUACAUGGUGUAGGAAAUUUGAUGAAAUGACCAUAUCGCCUUUAUAUAUAUUGAAAUGAAACUUUAUACACACACACACACACAAUGAGUUUGGAAAAAAGUAAUAAAUUUUUGAUGCAAACGAAGAAGACAAGACCAACAAUAUCAGGAUCCUUGAUCAAACAUAGAGCAUACUUAAAUUUGCAGAAAUAUAAAUUUUGCAAAAAUGUAAAUAAUGUAAAUAGAAAUAGAUAAAUAGAAGUAAGAAUAUAUAUAUAUAUAUAUAUAUAUAUAUAUAUAUAUAUAUAUAUAUAUUAAAAUGAAAACUAACCAAACAACAUAUGAGUAGUUUUGUUACUUUUUCUCUUAGACCAAAUCACCUCCACUCUCUCUCAAUUACAUUUUUCUCUCGUUUUCUGAAUGAAAUUCGUAUCCAGAUCAAUCAAUUUUGUCUAAUUUGAGUUCAUCAAUAACCAUUUAUUUUUCAAAAAUUCCUAAUGGUUUCUUGGUGGAAUUUUUAUUGUUUUUGAGUUUCAAUGGCUCUUUAGUCAUUAAAUAAAUCAUAAUGGUAAACCUAUAAAUAAUUAGAUUUUUUUAAAAAAAAGAUAUUAAGUAUUAGCACAUCUAUAAAUUUAAUCACAAUUCAAACCAAUCCUCGUAAUGUCAAAGAUAGUUUUCAAUUAUAGAAAUAUAAUAUCAAAGAUAUUUUUCAAUUUAAUCACAAUUACUUUUCCCUAAAAACAUUUUUUCUUGGUUGAAAAUACAAGAUGAGGUUUGUUUUUAUCCUUAUGUGAUAUGGAUAUUAGGUUGGAAGUUAAAAGACACAUGUUAAAACUUGCAUUUACUCAUGCAAAAACCAAUAAGGAAGGUGACCCAUACAAACCAUAUAUACCAAUAAUAUAUAAAUCUUUCUUUACAUAUGAAAGCAAUGUUGGGUUCCUGAAUAUUAUACACGCAGCAGAAAUAAUAAAACAAAAUUACCUAAAAGUCCUAUUUAUUUUAUGCAGAUCUAGAGUUAUUUAGGAAUUUAUUACCUGGAGAUUUAAUUUUCUUCAACUUUCAAUAAUUCUUUAAAAAAAAUUGUCGCAAAUCACAAGUCAUUCAAUUGUUCGACCAUAAUCCACACGAACUACUAGUGAAAAAUCUUCUAAAUUUCUAUUUAGGAGAGAGAGAUUGCUAUGCCUAGAGUGCUAGCUCUCUAUUCUAAAUAGACAACUACUCCUUAAAACAAUAUGAGGCACAAUAUAUUAUUUAUAAAAAAUAUGAAAAACCCUAUAAAUUGGUAAGUAUCAAUUUGCCCCUUAAAUAAUAUCCAUAUAUUAUUUAAGGAUAAUUUUAGAAAUUUAAUCAAACAAGUCCCUAUUUGAUUAUUCUAGGACUAGAAUUAUAAUCCCUGAAAUAAAUACAUUUCAAUGCUUAAUUUCUAAAAUUAUUUUCAAUAAAGUCACACUUGAUUAAUUAUCUCGAUUUAAUUUCUAACUGAUAGUUCUUAAUAUGUGUGACCCGUUAUGUUCUUAAUUUCUAACUCUUUUCAAAUCUCAUUCCACCUUGACCAAUGAUUUUUCUAAAACUAUUUUCAAUCAAGUCAUACUUGAUUAAUUAUCUCGGUUUAAUUUCUAACUGAUAGUUCUUAAUAUGUGUGACCCGUUAUGUUCUUAAUUUCUAACUCUUUUCAAAUCUCAUUCCACCUUGACCAAUGAUUUCUCAGUCAAUACUAUUUGAUAACAGAUAAAAUAUUUUCUCCAACUCUCCUAGGAUGAUGAAUUCUCUCUUGAUCACUAAAAUACUUUCAUAUAGUUCAUGUUAUUCUCAAUGUUUGUCAUUUCAUCUCCUUGAUUAAGAUAACAUGUAAUGACAUCAAACCAUAAUAUUUUUUUUUAUAUAAGAUAACUUAGUGACUCAAGUCUAAAGAUCACUUACACAACCGUUAUGUGAGCCUUUCCAUUGACAUAUAUGAUCUUCUUCAUAUAGAAUCCUCAUGCUGGUCAAGUUAGUAUAUAUAUCCUAUGAUAAGCACCUACAUAUUAGUUCUAUGUAUCCCUUAUACCCCAGCUUAUGAGAACAACCACUUCCUUUCACAAAGAAAAGAACAUAACAUGUACUAGUCUCUACGACUCUAAUAAAUGUUCAAUAUUUAAGAGAGCAUCGACCAUAAAUAUUUUAAUAUCAAUGCUUUGAUGCAAUAAUAAUCUCAUAAUUAUAACUUUAUAAUUUCAUUUGCAAAACAGUUUUUUACCAUAAACAUUAUCUUUACUCUAGAUUCAUAAAUCAAAUAUUAAAUUUAUUAAUCUAAUAUUAUAUAAAUAUUAAUGAUAAAUUAACUUUUUAUUAAUAACAAAUAUAUAUUUACACAAAUAUAAUAAUUAUUUUAUAUAACUACAUGAUAUAUUAAACUAACAAGUCAAGGCAAUGACAUGACUCUCUUUUGGAUACACAUUGAAAUCCCAACGCAAACAGCCAUUGACAUGCAAAUGCUAGACUAUAUACAACCUUCAAUUAGUGCAUGAUCACAAACCCCGCGACUUGUUUUCCCCUUUGCAUAAAGCAUAGAUGUUAAAUCCAAGUAUGGAUUGGAAGAUUUACAUGGAAAACUUGGAAUUUCGAGUUUAACCGGAGCCAAGUUUUUAGCAUAAAAUAUAGUUGUUAAAUCCGACUAGAUUUUUAAUGAUCCACUUAAUCUCGCUAAAUCUAAUUCAAACCUAGCCUGCUGAUUCAAUAAAAAAAUAAAUAAAUGAUACGGCUUUAAUAAAAAUAAUUGAACAACUAUUUUCUAAAUAAGUCCUUAAAUCGAGUAUGACAGGUAUAAUACAGAGGUUCUAGUCACUCUCAACAAUUAGAAAUUUCAAUGAGGACAAACUAUGAAACACCAUCUUUUUAUAGCAAAGCUAAAAGAAAGUUGCAAUAAUUUUAGAUUACGAAAACAUUUAUUAUCUUCAGAAGUUCAGAUGGUGUACAAACUCUUAUUCUCUUCAGAAGUUCAGAUGGUGUACAAACUCACACAAUUUUCGAAAACUUCAAAGGGAGCUGAAAUCCACGAGUAGAAGCAAGACAGCAUGGCAUGGCCGUAUGCCUUCUAUACAGCUUUCCAUGAUUUAAGAGGUGGAGUAUCUGAAUCCUUGAAUGUAGACAGGCCAUCGCCAUACCGAUCUCCCCUUACAGCAUCUGAAGAAGCUAUUGAUUCGAGUUCAGCCAUUUCUUCUGGCGUUAGUUUGACAGACAUAGCUCCAACAUUCUGGUUGAAGUUUUCGAUCUUGGUGGUUCCAGGAAUAGGACAUACAUCAUCACCCUGGUGGUGUACCCAGGCCAACGCCAGCUGCGAUGAAGUGCACUGUUUCCUUGCUGCGAUUUCAUUAACCCGCUCAAAUAGUUGUGUGUUAUGUUCAAGAUUUUCAGGUCGGAACCUAGGCAAACCCUGAGACAAUUGAAACACUAGCUAGUUAAUUUCAGCAGCUAAGCCUGAAACAACUCAUCAAGAAGAAAGCAUCAUAGAUUACAGUUUAUGCAACAUUCCAGAUGUACUUGUAACAUGUCCUUUUUGCCAUAACAAAACAUUAAUCCUAGUACUAAACGCAAACCAUCAUGAUAUUGUAUACCACGCAGUUUUUUAUGGGUGCAAGCACGCCAAAUUCCCAUGUACAAGGCGAGUGAGCAGAUUUUAGGAAUCCAGAAGUACUGAAGAAUGAAUAUCAGAGAGAAAGAUUUAAGCAAAACAUUAAGUAUGCAGAACUUUUUGUUUGGACAUGCAUGGGACAAACUAAAGCCACCUGUCUAAUACAAGGAGAUCCUGUAAAUCUGUGUUUUAUUUGAUUGAAUCUUUAAGCAAUCCAAGUGUAUAGCAUAUUUGUAGGAAUAAUGCAAAUGUGAAAGAACUGCUAGGUAAAAUAUAAUGAUCUCAAAGCUAAACUUUUACUUUGUAUAGCAUAUUUGUAGGAAUAAGCUAACCAAUAUAUUGUCAAAAACUCGUUACUUAAAAGUUUAUUAGGUGAGUUUUCAAGAACGGUUUUAUAUUAUUCUGUAACGCAUAUAACUGUCAAAGGAGGAAAUGUGAUUUGUGACAUUCCUUCCUUUCCAAACUGUAAAAGAUUAUGCUUGUACAAUUGGUUAUUUACUGGACAUGUAUUAUACAGAUCACAAACUCUAUAUUCAAAAAGAAAAGAACCUACCUUUCUGUAGUCACCAUCUGUAAGGCUCUCAACCAACUUAGGCCCAGAGGAAAAGAAUCCCCGUCCUAGAGGACUGUAAGCAACAAUCCCAAUGCCAAGUUCUCUGAACCAUUAGAAUGAUAAGAUCAGAAUCUGGAUAUCUAAGGCAUCCCAUAAACAGCCUAAGGUUUCGGUUAUUUUGAUCUCCAAAGGAAAUUAGUUUUUCUCAUCAAUGCCUCACCUGCAGGUAGGAACAAUCUCUUCCUCCACAUCUCUUGACCACAGUGACCACUCCAACUGCACGGCUGUUAUCGGAUGAACAGCGUGAGCUCUUCUGAUUGUUGAAGCAGAGGCCUCAGACAGACCUAUAUACUUUAUUUUACCUUCUUCAACUAGUUUCUUGAGUUCCCCCAUCUAGCAAAGAAAAGAAUUAUGAGUGCACAACUGCAAGACAUUUUUCAGCUAGAAUGCAGGGACAGUACCCAAUAGUAGCAUUGUCAGAAUCCAGCUACGAAAGAGACCAUUGCAAGAUGUCAAUGCACAUAAUAAGCAUGACGGUAUCAUCAGUACUGUGUCUAAUCUAUAAUUAUAGUGGGUUUAUGCUGAAGUUUUAGGAUUUUUGGAUAUUCCUGUGACAGAUUCUGGAAAAUAUAUCAUCAAGUAAAAGAAAAUUCUCUAACUAUCAUCAUAGCCAUCGAACGAUCAAGAUUAAUCAGAACAAUAUUCAGAAAUAAAAACAAUUAAAGAGAAAUACCGUAGCUUCAAUAGGAACGCUGGUAUCAAUGCGAUGUUGGUAAUAAAGAUCAAUGGAUUCAAGUUGAAGGCGUUUCAAGCUGGCCUCACAAGCAGCUCUCACAUAAUCAGGAUCCCCUCGAACCUCAAAACUGCCGUCCUUAAAGCUGGCGCCAAAUUUGGUGGCCAAUUCAACUCUCUGUCGUAAUCCUCCCGCCUUCAAGGCCUUGCCCAGAAGGAUUUCGUUGGUGUGGGGUCCAUAGACAUCAGAGGUGUCGAGUAAAGUGACCCCGGUGUUGACGGCAUGGUUGAUGAGGGCGAUCAUGUCCGAUUCAGGCUUUGGAGGGCCGUAGCCGAAAGACAUGCCCAUGCAUCCAAGUCCCUGUGCUGAUACUUCAAGACCCUGUGACCCCAGCUUGAUCCUUUUCAAUGUUGCCAUCUCUCUUGUUCUUAAGAACUCUAUUGUUAAUUGACACAAUGGCGAAGCAGUUGAAACGAAACCGCAAUAAAUAGAGAAAGGGUGUGCGAGCGCGCGGACGAGACUAAUAUCUAACGUCAGCACCCACGUACUGGAAGUAGCACAGGAUUGUUUGGGAAUUUGAUUUGUCGUUUUUAAAAUAUUUUUUUAUUUAAAAAUAUAUUAAAAUAAUAUUUUUAACACUCAUAUGUAAAUUCAAUCUACUUUAUCAAUAAACAAAUUCAGCUUGGAAUUAUCGCAGGAACUGAAAUUGAUGUUUCAGCUAACCGAUCCAUUAUAAGAGCAGCCGUUCACUUGAUGGAUGCAUUUCAAUUGUGAGCCGCCAACUUAAAAAAAUUAAAAAAAAUAUUUAAAAUUUUAAUAUUUCAUAUAAAAAAAUAAAAAAUAAUUUAUAUAAAUAUAAGUUAUAUAUAUUAUAAACAAUGAAGUUUAAAAUAUUAUUUGAAAAAAUUUUUUUAUUCAAAACAUAAUAUUCUUUAUAUAAAAUAGUUUAGUAAUCUCAAGUCCAAUAAUCAGUUACACAACCGUCCCAUUAAUAUUUUCUUAGAUAUAUGUGAUCAUUUUAUAUGAAAUUUUUAUGCAGAUCAGUUCAAUAUACAUGUUUUAUGACAAACACUUAUAUAUUAGUUUUAGAUUUUUCUUGUACCUUAACUUAUGAGAACAACUGUUUCCUUUCAUAAAAAAAAAAAAGAACAUAAUAUGUACAAUUCUCUACGACUCUAAUAAAUAUCUAGUGUUUAAGAGAACAUCGACCAAGAACAUUUUAAGAAUAAUGUUUUGAUGCAAUAAUAAUCUCAUAAUUAUAACAACUUUAUAAUUUUCUUUGUAAAGUAUUUUUGUCAUAUGAAUUUUAUUUUUACAGUAGAUUUAUAAAUCAUAUGUUAAAUUUAUUAAUCUAAUAUUAUAUAAAUAUUAAAUACAAAUUAACUCUUUAUUAAUAAUAAAUAUAUAUUUAUACAAAUAUAAUAAUAUUAUGUGUAAUUAGUUAAUUGACUAACUUAUCGGCAAUGGCAUGACUCUCUCUAUCUCUUCUAGACACAUUGAAAUUCCAACGCAAACGCCAUUGACAUGCAAAUGCUUAGACUAUAUUAUAUACAUAAUUCAAUUAGUGCAUGAUCACAAAUUCCGCAACUUGUUCUCCACUAUGCAUAAAGCAUAGAUUUUAAAUCCAAGUAUGGGCUGGAAGAUUUACAUGGAAAACUUGUAAUUUCAAGUUUAAUAAAAAACAAUAUUAUUGAUGUUAUAGAUAUUAUUAUUUUUAGUAUAAUUAAUGGUAUUAAUAUUAAAAAAAAUAUUAUUUUUAUUAUUUGUGUUCUAAAUAUUUUGUUUUUUAUAAUUAAACGUAUUCAUAUCAAAUAUAUUAUUAUUUGUGUUAUAAUUUUUUGUUUAUAAUUCAACAUAUUCAUAUUAAAGAUAUUAUUAUUUGUGUUAGAAAUAUUGUCGGGUUUCUAAAUAUAAUUAUCUGUGUUAUAAAUAUUAUUGUUUUUAUUAUAAUUCAACGUAUUCAUAUUAAAGAUAUUAUUAUUUGUGUUAUAUUAUUAUUAUUUUUAUUAUAAUUCAAAGUAAUAAUAUAAAAAAUAUUAUUUCUUGUAUUAUAAAUAUUCUUGGAAUUCUUAAUAUAAUUAUUUGUGUUAUAAAUAUUAUUAUUUUUAUUAUAAUUCUAAAUUAUCAUCUCUAAAAUAUGAUUAUUUGUGUUAGAAAUAUUGUUGGGUUUACAAAUAUAAUUAUUUGUGUUAUAAUUAUUAUUAUUUUUGUUAUAAUUCAAAGUAUUAAUAGAAAAUAUAUUAUUAUUAUUUGUGGUAUAAAUAUUAUUAUUUUUAUUAUAAUUCUCCUGGUUGCUGAACCAAUUGGCCUUGGGUUCUUUGUCAGGAUCUAAUUGGAUUGGGUCUGCGGUCGGACCCAUUUCUCUUGGGUCCUGUGGCCGGACCCGUUUCGCUUGGGUCUUGCCUCAGAUAUGUUAGUAUAUUAUUCUUUUAAUUUAAAAUAUUUAAAUAAUAUAUAUAUAUAUAUAUAUAUAUAUAUAUAUAUAUAUAUAUAUAUAUAUAUAUUAAAGAACUUCAAAUCCCACAUUAAAAAAAUAAUUUUUUUCUAUAAUAAAUCAAUCUAUAAUAAAAGGAUAAAAAAAUAAAAUCAUAUCAGACUUAAGUAAAGAGACUGAGAUUACCCUGUAGAAAGACAAACACAAAAGAAGAGAGAGUAGAAUAUCCAAAUACAAAACAAUCUCAAAUCCAAGAAAUGUAGACCAAAUUUAGUAUAAAAACUAAAUAAAGAAAAAUAAUUAGAGACUAAAUUCAAAAAAUAAAUAAAUUAAGAUACUGAGGGAUAUAAUUGAAAAAAAUAGAUAAAUAAAAAGAAUAAGAAAAUAGCAAUAAAAAAGAUGACCAAAAUUGGAUAAAAAAUUAAAUGCAAUAAAAUGAUUAGGGAUGAAAUUGAAAAAACUAAAAAAAUCAAGAAAAGGAUAAAACACCAAAAAAGAGUAAUCAAAUUAAUGAGGAUCAAAUUAGAUAUAAAAAUUAAAUGAUAUAAAAUUCUCAGAGAUGAAAUAAAUAAAAAACUAAAAAUACAAAAAAAUAUUAAAAGCAACACAAAUAGUAAUUAAGAGAAUGAGGGUCAAGAUUAAUAGAAAUACAAAAUAAGGAUAUUUUGUUUUUGGAUGGGCUGACAUAAAUUUUUAGGUUAGGAGAAAGAAAUUAAAGAAGGACAAAAAAAAACUUGCUAGGAGCCAACCGUGUCUCCUCCAGAAACACGCACCACACUACUAGAAAGAGAAAGAUGAGCCUCUCCUAACGCUUCCUUAUAUGGUGGAAUUUGAUAGUCGGAAAGGCCCUAUAUGCGCCUCUCGCGGGAACUGUCAUGCACUAAUGCGUCAACAAUUUUUUUUUAUAAUAAUAUUUAGUCUUUUAAAAUGACAAAACAACCUUUAGACCAACCCAAAAAUAACAAAAAAAACUAUAAGUAAAAACAAAAAAUAUCCUUGAAAUCAGAUGUAUAAGUUUUUAAUUUUAAGGGUAAUACUGUAACUUUAUUGUUCAAAAAACUGAAAAUACAAAAAAAAACCCCUAAUUUAAUGGUUAUUUUCUCUAAAAGACAUAAGUGAAGUUUUAUUGUGCAAAUAAUAAUAACAAGACAAAGUAAUUUAACAGUGCAAAAAAAAGUGUACUAACCAAUUUAUCCCAACCAAUUUUGUAAUGCCUAAUGGAUUUAUUAGAAAAGACAAUUCGACCCCUACCAGCCAUGCUUUUGGUUUGUGUGGAGAAGGGAAAAAAACAAUUUAUAUGCUAAUCCAUGAUGAAUUGUGUCACAGCUAUAAUAAAUAAAUGUUUGAUCUCUUUUUUUAUUUUAUUUUAUAAUUCACUAUUUUAAGUGCAAUAGGUGUUGUAUUCAUUUCCUUGUUAUUUUAUGUAGAAUUUCAAUUCAAUUUAUAAUGUAAGAGAAGGAAGUGUUUGCAUUAUAUCAUGAUUUUUCUUAAUUGAAAAAUGAAAAGAUAAUGUAUAAUAGAAUAAAUUGAAAAAUAUAUAUGAAUUGAUAAAUUGAAAAUGAAAAGAUAUAUAUGUUUUUAAAUUUCAUAAUGCUUUGAAGAGAUUAUUAUAAUUUAUCUACCAUUAUUUUUAUUUUUAUUUUAUGUAAGUGAGUUGUAUUUACAUGAUAUUUUUUUAAAAAAACAAAAAUAGUUUGUUAUUAGUAACAAAGAUAAAAUAAAUUAAAAAAAUUAAAAAAAUCAAUAUAAAAUAUUUAUACAUACAUCAAUCUCUUACUUUAUAAAAAAUAAAUAUACAAAACUGACAUAAAUAUAAACAAACUCAAAAUCUUAUUUUUCUCCCGCGUAUAGAAGUUCUGCUCACUCUCAACAAUUAUAAAAUUCUAACAAGACAAAGUAAUUACGAAAGACCAGCUUUCUAUAGCAAAGCAAAAACACAGAAUUAAUGGUAAAAUUAAAUUAUGGGGAAAAAACAUAUAUCUCUACAGAUGGUGUGCAAAUUUGAUAGAAACCGAUAUGCAAGAACACUUGAUGAAUACUGAAUUGUAUGUCAAUCAUGAAUGAACAAUCGUUUGGCUUUAUAUAGCCUUUACAAUACUGCAGGGUAACUAAUAACUGCUGCCCCGUGAUCCAAGGAAUCAGUUUGUUAGCUAAGAAUUGAACACUAACAAACUUACCUGACUUGACUAAUUGCCAGCUAGAUUAACUAACUAACAACUUUAACAUAUUUAGCUAACAGUAAUAGUGACAGUUAUGGAAUACUUCUCAACAUUCUUUCCUUUAAACUAAUUCUGUGUAACAAUUAGUUUACUUCAGGCAUCACACAGACUCCUAUUUGUUCUCGAAGGUCUUUAAAUGUCUGUAGUUUAACUGGUUUUGUCAGCAGGUCAAUUAUUUGAUCUUGUGAGCCACAAUGCACAAGUUCAAUGACCUUGUCUCGAGUUAAAUCACGUAAGAAAUGGAAUCUCACAUCAAUGUGUUUGCUGCGUCCAUGCAUAAUGGGGUUUCUUGAGAGCUUGAUGGUUGAACUGUUAUGUAACACCCCACCUUACUAGCAAGAUAUUGUCCGCUUUGGGCCUCUUAGUCCACCCAAAUCCAGGGCUUCCACCCUUGUCCCCCUUUCGGGUUUGUUCUUAGCAGUCACGCAUGGCCCCAAAACGCGUCUUACUAGUCAAGGUGAGCAUGCACUUAUAAGGCCCUUGCUCUGGACGCUCGCUUCUGAUGUGGGAUCUUACAAUCUCCCCACCUUAAGACGAGUCGUCCUCGGCUUUGAUACCAAAUGUAACACCCCACAUUACUAGCAAGAUAUUGUCCGCUUUGGGCCUCCCAGUCCACCCAAAUCCAGGGCUUCCACCCAGGUCCCCCUCACGGGUUUGUUCUUGGCAGCCACACAUGAACCUAAAACGCGUCUUACUAGUCAAGGUGAGCAUGCACUUAUAAGGCCUUGGCUCUGGACGCUCGCUUCCGAAGUGGGAUCUUACAUGUUAUCACACAUUAAGAUGGUGCAACCUUUUUGUUCAUGAUUUAACUUCUCCAGAAUCCUUCUCAUCCAUACUGCUUGACACGCACAAGCUGCUGUUGCCACGAAUUCUGCUUCAGUUGUUGACAGAGUAACUAUAGACUGCUUCUUUGAUGACCAUGAAACUGCUCCACUCUAGUCGAAUGUACUCUUUCUGUCUGUAAUGUCUCCUGCAUAGUCAUUAUCAGUGUAUGCAAUCAGCUGCUUGUUCUCAUUCUUCUUGUAGAAUAUACCAUAAUUGAUGGUGCCCUUCAAGUAUCUUAAUAUUCUUUUAGCAGCUUGUAGAUACACUUCUGUUGGACUAGCCAUAAACCUGCUAAUAAAACUCACCCCAAACAUGAUAUCUGGCCUUGUAGCAGUGAUAUACAUAAGACUUCCUACUAUCUGUUUAUAGUAAGUCUCAUCGAUUUUUUUUCCUUCUCCAAUUUUGUCAGUUUUGAAGCCAGGGACUAUGGGAUUCAUUACUGCCUUACUUUUUUCCAUUCCAAACCGUUUCAGAACCUCUAGUGUAUAUUUCCGUUGACAGAUAUAGAUUCCAUUAGUCUGUUGCAGUACUUCUAUGCCUAAGAAGAACCUUAUUCUUCCUAGAUCAGUCAUGUCAAAUACCCUCAUCAUUGAUUGUUUGAAUUCCAGCAUCAUCUGUUUAUCAUCUCCAGUGAAAAUCAAGUCAUUCACAUAAACACUCAUAAUAAGGAUUCUGCCUCCACUGGUUUUAACAAACAAAGUUUGUUCACUGAUGCACUUCUGAAAUCCUUCAUGGGUGAAGUAAGCUUCAAUUCGACUAAACCAAGCUCGAGGGGCUUGUUUUAGUCCAUACAAAGCUUUGUGUAAUUUGUAGACCUUGUGCUCAUUUCCUUUCUGCUCAUAUCCUUUUGGUUGUUCUACAAAUAAAUCCUUACUUAAUUCUCCAUGCAGAAAAGCCGACUUAACAUCUAAUUGAUAGAUGAGCCAACCUUUUUUAGCAGCUAGUGCAAUGAUCAGCCGAACAGUGUCCAUUCUUACCACAGGAGCAAAUACUUAUGUGUAAUCCACACCAUGUUGUUGAGCAUAACCCUUUGCAACUAACCUGGCUUUGAGCUUAUCCACUUUACCAGACUCAUUUAUCUUGGUCUUGUAUAUCCAUUUCACCCCAAUCUUCUUAGUUCCAGCUGGUAAUUCAGUUAAACUCCAUGUCUCAUUCUUCUGAAUUGACUCCAUUUCAGUAUCCAUGGCUUCCCUCCACUUGUAACUUUUUACUGCCUUUUCAUAACUCACGGGGUCAUCAGAAGUUACAAUUGCCAUAUUCAAUUCAGUUUCUUCUUCUGACAGUCCUUCACCAGAGACAUAGUCUCUCAUCCAACUGGGCAUAAUUGUCUCCCUCCUUGUAUGCAGAUUGACAUCUUCUUCAUAUAUUGUGUUGGCAGGAGCAUUGCUGGAUUCUUCAAUGCCAUCCCAAUUUGACUCUGCACCUGAGUUUGCAAUAUUAUGCCCAAUUACCUCUGCAUCUCCACUACUGUUUGCUUCAUCUCCAUCAAUUUCACCUUCUUCUCCCCAUUCUAAGUUCAUUUGUAACUCCUCUUUAUAACUGACAUCCCAGUCCCAGUGUUUCUCUUCUUCAAAGAUUAUGUCCCUGCUAGUUAUAAUUUUCUUUGUUACAGGGUCAUACAAUCUAUAGCCUUUUGAUUCUUCGCUUACUCCCAACAGUAUACAGCGUACACUCUUGUUUUCCAGUUUGGUUCAUCUUACAUUUGGUAUAUGCACAUGAGCUACACAUCCAAACACUCUAAAGUGUUUAACUGAGGGCUUCUUUCCAGUCCACACUUCUUCUGGAGUCAUGUCUUUUACAACAUUAGUAGGGCAUCUGUUCAAUACAUAUAUGAUCCAGUUUACUGCCUCAACCCAGAAGCUUUUAGGAAUCUUCUUUUCUGAAAGCAUUGAUCUUACCAAGUUCAUUACUAUACUAUUCUUCCUCUCAGCCACUCCAUUUUGUUGAGGGGUGUAGGCUGUAGUUAGCUGUCUUUUGAUGCCAUUCUGCUUACAAAACUCAUUGAAUUCCAGUGAGUUGAAUUUACCACCUCUAUCUGUUCUUAUACACUUGAUGUAUUGUCCAGUUUCUUUUUCAACAAGCUUCUUAAAGUACUGGAAAUGCUGGAGAGCUUCUGAUUUUUCUGCUAGGAAAUAAACCCAGGCCUUUCUGCUAUAGUCAUCAAUGAGACAUAAGAAAUACCUUUUCUUGCUGUUUGAGGUUGGUGUGAUUGGGCCACAUAUGUCUGCAUGGAUGAGUUGUAACCUUUGUGAUGCACGUCAUUGACUCUUCUUUGGAAAAGAUUCUCUGUGCUGCUUGCCAGUAAUACAAGCAGUGCAUUCUGUAGUUGAUGCAGGGAGCUGUGGUAGUCCUCGAACCAUCUUCUUAUAUUGCAAGGUUCUUAGUCCUUUGUGGCUGAGAUGGCCAUAUCUGCAAUACCAUAAAUAUGACACAUCUUGUGCAUGUGUAUGGAAACAAGAAACAUCUUUGACUUGAGCCUUUGCUAUUAGCAUAAACAUCUUGUUGACUGUCAUUCUGGUUUGAAUGAUCAGGCCUCUCAUAGGAUGAUAAAUCUUGCAUAUUCCUGAUUUGAUAAGGAUUGCCAGACCCUUUUCUUGUAGCUGGCCUAUGCUUUAGGAGGUUAUUCUUUAGUUUAGGUACAUAGAAUACAUCAGUAACCAUGUACUGCAUGCCAUCCAAAAACAACUUGACUUUUCCUUUUCCAAGAACUGUCAUUCGUGUAUUAUUCCCAAGCUUUACCAGUUGUCUAAAUUCUUCAUUUAAUUCAUAGAGCAUAUCCUUGUCUCCACACAUAUGGUUUGAGCAGCCAGAGUCCAAAAACCAUGCAUCCUCUCGAUUGUUGUCAUACAAUUCCACAUGAGACAUCAAUAGAAUUUCUUCUUCAUUGUUCAGUUCUGCAUAAUUUGCCUCCUUGCUCAUUGUGGGACAUUCAUACUGAAAAUGGCCAAGUUUGUGACAUCUAUAACAUUCAACAGUGGUUUUGUCAAAGGUAUAUUGUUCUCUACCUCUUCCUCCUUUUCUGAAAGCUCGUCUGCCUUGUCCUCUGCCAUAUAACCUUUCUUCAGAUGUCACCUUCAAAGCUUGUUCUACCAUGCUGUGUUUCUGAAAUUUUUGUUCAUGUACAAUCAAUGAGCUUCGUAACUCAUCAAUUGAGAGAACAUCAAUGUCUCUAGAUUCUUCAAUUGAGCAUACUAUGUAAUUGAAUCUGUCAGUCAAGGAUCGAAGAAUCUUCUCCACAAUCGUUACAUCUCGCAUUUGCUCCCUAGAGGUUCUUAUUUUGCUGGCUACAGUCAUAACCUUUGCAAAAUAGUCAGUGAUAUUCUCACCUGUUUUCAUCUCUAGUGUUUCAAACUCCUUCCUUAGUGUUUGAAGGAUUGAACGCUUCACUCUUGCAUUUCCUUCAUAUUUCCUUCAUAUUUCCUUUUCAUUGAGUCCCAAAUUUGUUUAGAGGUGUUCUUCUCCAGAAUAGUUUCAAGUAUGGUUCUGUCAAUGGCCUGAAAUAGGUAGUUCUUCACUUUCAGAUCUUUGAGUUUUAACUCCUCUAAUUUGUUUUGUUGUGUUUCAGUCACACCUACUCCUUCCUCUGGCUCUAUGUAGCCAGUUUCAACCAAGAUCCAGAAUUCCUUGGAUCUCAAGAAAUUCUCCAUUAGCAUGCUCCAGUGAUAGAAAUGACCAUCAAAGCACGACAUGGAUGGUUGUAUAAAAUUGAUGUUAUUGUCAUUCGCCAUCUCUCAGUUUGACUCUCUUUUGUUUUGUAGAUUUCAACAGAAAAACAAAAUCAACUGCAACUUUCUUUUCCUCUCCCUGUAGCUUUCUCUUUCUCUUCCUUUGUUUUGCUCUGAUACCAAUUUGAUAGAAACCGAUAUGCAAGAACACUUGAUGAAUACUGAAUUGUAUGUCAAUCAUGAAUGAACAAUCAUUUGACUUUAUAUAGCCUUUACAAUACUGCAGGGUAACUAAUAACUGCUGCCCCGUGAUCCAAGGAAUCAGUUUGUUAGCUAAGAAUUGAACACUAACAAACUUACUUGACUUAACUAACUGCCAGCUAGAUUAACUAACAAACAACUUCAACAGAUUUAGCUAACAGUAAUAGUGACAGUUAUGGAAUACUUCUCAACAAAAUUAACUCCCACAAUCUUAGAGCACCUGCAAAGGUAACUGAAAUCUACAAGUGCCAGCAAGAUAACAGACAUGACAACAUUCUUUUAUAUAGCUUUCCAUGAUGAAAGAGGUGGAGUGUCUGAAUUCCUGUAUGUAAGCAUGAAAACCUCGUACCUAUCACCCUGAACAACACCUGCAGAAGCGAUGGAUUCGAGUUCCGCCAUUUCAUCUGGUGUUAUUUCACGUUGCCUGUUAUGCUCCAGAUUUUCUGGACGGAACCUAGGCAGAUCCUGAGACAAUUAAUGCAACACAAUUUCAGAAGCUAAGCUUCAGAAAACUCAUCAAAAAGGAAAUCAUCGUAGGUGUAAAGUUUAUGCAAGGCGUUCCAUAUGCACUUGUGACAUUCCUUUUCUAACUAUAAGGUCUUAUGCUACGACAACUGGUUAUUUACUGCGCAAGUACUAGUCGGAAACUUAAUUUUCACAAAGAAGCGUACCGACCUUUCAAAUGUCACCCUCUGAAAAGCUCUUAACCAGCUUAGGCCCCGAUGAAAGGAAUCCCCGUCCUAGGGGACUGUAGGCAACAAUCCCAAUGCCAAGUUCUCUUAUAAAUUAGAAUGAUAAAUUUCAUGGCAUGCAAGGCGGAAUGACGGGUUUUUCUCUAAAUAGAAGAGGUUUUGAAUUUGAUCAUAAAUUGUGAUUUUGAAGGAGUUGUUGUCUGUUAUUAUUUUACUAAAAAACUUAUUGGUUUGCGAGAGUUUAAGUAAGAGGACCAGUUGUAUAAGAAAAAGACACAUCAAUCCAGUGCACCUUAUCUAUGGUAAGUUACAUUAUUAAUUGAUUGUUAUUUUAAAUCAUGUUUCUAUUUGUUGGUCUCAUCUAAGGUUCGAGGUAAAUCUUCUUUCAUGAGAAAGUCUCUAUCCUAUCGGGUUAAAUCCUAACCAUUUUAGUAUCACAUUUAUUUUUUACUUUGUAUCUUUAAUAUCUCAGUAUAUACUUUACAAUGUAAUUUUAUACCCUUAAAUAAUAAAAUCUAGAACUAAUUUCUAAUGUUUAUUGCUAUUAACUCAUUUAAUUUAAUAUUGGAAGCAUGCAUUACGUUGUAAAAUUCAUAUUCUGAAUAUUAAUUAAACAAAUUACUUUUUGUGGUAUUUUUGAGAUUUUGACUAAAUCUUAAUGAACAAUCAUAAAUCGAUUACAAUAUUUAUCUUGUAUUUUUAAAACAUGAUAAAAAUAUAAUUUUUUUUGAAAAUAUAUGUGAAAAGAUUUUUAGAAUUUGGCCAUAUGCACGUGAACAAAACAUAUAUAUUUUUUUAUUUUUGAAAGGAGGAUGUUUUUGAAUUUUUGGAGCAAAAUUAGGUAUUUUUAAUACGAGUCAGUAUCAUACAGUGUAAGUCUAUAACCUGAUAUUAGAUAAAAUUAUUGAAAAAACACACGAGAGACCCAUAAAUAAUUUUAAAAUGAUCCUUGAAUUGUUUCCUACUUUUCCGAACUAGUUUAGGGCAUGUUUGACUAAAUACUAUAAUAAGGACACGAUAAAGAUAAAGCUAAGUUAAAGGAAAUGGUAGGAGGACGUGUUUGCUAAACGUGUCCUUAUCCUAAAAUCAAAGGCAUUGAAAAUACUUUAAGGCUGUGUUUGACAAACAUGUCUUAAAAAAAGGCAUUUUUCCUUUGGUAAAAAUAGGGCAUGCUAAACACACAUUUAAGGUUGGGUUGAGUUUGGCCCAACCACAUGGGCUGGGCUUAUUGGACUCGAGGCCGAAGCUUAACCCGAUUUUGGGCCAACAGACGGCCCAACAAGCUUCUUCUCCUUUUUGUAUAUAUAUGGACUGGACCCAGCCCAGUCGCGCAGGCUAGGCUUGGAUUUGGCCCAUUCAGCUUUGUUAGUGGUCCAACCCAGUGACAUUACCUUCACUAGCAAAUGCAAACAACAUAACGUGAAUUAUUUCACAUUUUGCAUGCACAAAAAGAUGUACUAUAUGUUUUAAAAGGACGAAGAACUCAAGCGAUUCCCAUGAACAAAAACCAUUUUGAUGCUAGUUUAAAACAAACAUAUUUUAAAAAGAACUUGGGUGAUUCCCAUAGAUAAGGUUUCUUGAAGGUUGACUUUCUCUAUGGUAUUGAAGCGUUCAUUUUACUUGUAUGAAUAAUAAAGCAUAAUCAAAGUUUCUUGAAAAGCUUAUUUCACAUGGGAAAGCAUCGUUUACCAAUCCAGAUUGCUUGCCUUUGAUUAAAAAAAGCUUUAUUGGGCAUGCAACGUAGGAUUUGGCUUUUGGUAAUGAAAGAAAAGGAUAUUUGUAGGCUUAAAAGGUGUUUAAGAGAUCUUAAGAUCAAUGAUCACUAAAUCUCGUUUCCAAACCUUACUUUUUGGUCAAAUGAUUCCUAGAUUUUAGGGUUGACUUUGCAAAAUAGUUUAGCAUGCCCCCAAUGUUUAGACUAUUUGACUUUGAGUGUCAUCAUCAUACUAAUUAUUUUCAUUUUGCAUGGCAUGCUCAACCUUUUUGAAUCUUUGAAUUUCUUCAUGCUCUUGCUUUGUUUGGGCACCUUUGAUAAUUGAGGAUUAUUUUGUAUAUUCUUGCGGUCAAAUUGCUUUUCUAAUCUUGGUACGUUCCCCCAAUAUGGGGUAUGAUCCUAGUCAUUGUUGUUUUGCAAGAAAGACUUACUAGGCUCAAUGAGGACUUGCAAAUGAUAUUUUUUAAAAGUAUUGUGAAAGAAUUAUAAAAAAUGACAUUCUCCCAUUUCAAACAUAUGAGUUUAGGAUUAGUAAGCUUUGCUUUCUUUCAUUGUGAUUGUUUGGUCAUGCAAAAUUGUUUUCAUCAUAAUUAAAUUAUGAUUGUUAUUCAGCCAACUAAAACUCAGCUUCAAAGUCAUUUAAAUGGUUUGGUUACCUCACUAGGAGAUCACUUGAACUCGCAAAACUCACUUGUAAAAAGCGAACACUAAUUUGACCUCUGUAUUUGUACUAAUAACUUUGAUUUUCCAAAAAAUAUUUUAUAAAAACACAAAAAAUAAGGUUUUUUGAGCAUAUGAGAUCAUGUAAAGCUUUUUAAAGUUUACAAAAAGAAAGUGCACCAAAACAUUCCUGGCCAAACUUUGAUCUUUAUUGAUAUAUCAAUAAAGUACAUCAUGCAUAAUACUUCUUUAUAAUGUUAGAGUUUACAGGGUUAGGUAAAUCAUCUUCGUCCAUCUUGUUCAAAACCAAGGCUUCUCUAGGAAAGGCUUUAUUCACCACAUAUAGUCCUUCAUAUUUCGAUGCUUAUUUGCUCUGAUCUUCUCCUGAUGUUGGCAAGAUCUUUUUCAAUACUUGGUCUCCUUCUUUGAAUACCCUUGUUCUGACUCUCUUGUUGCAUGCCUUAACCAUUCUACUCUGGUAUAGUUAAUGAUGACAAAUUACUACCAAUCUUUUCUUGUUGAUCAAACUCUACUACUCAAAUUUCAAAUUUGCAUAUUCUGAUUCUUCUAGUUUUGCAUCAUUUAGAACCCAUAAUGAUAGAAUUUCCACUUUUAAAGGUAUCAUCGCUUUCAUCCCAUAUACCAAAAAGUAAAGGGUUGCACCUGUAGAAGUUCUAACUGUGGUGUAAUAUGAGUAAAGUACGUAUGGAAGCAUCUCGUGUUAGUUGUUGUAGGUUACUAUCAUUUUCUGGAUGAUCUUUUUAAGAUUUUUGUUGGCUGCCUCGACAUCACCAUUCAUCUUGGGUAUGUAAAGAGAAGAAUUAAAGUGCUUAAUCUUACACUUGGUGUAGAGUUUAACAAUUAUCUUCUCAUUAAAAUUUUGAGCAUUAUCAGCUAACAAUUUUGCUAGCAUGCCAUACCGACAAAUCAAAUCUUUCUUGAUGAAUCUCUUGACCAUUUUUUAUGUCACAUAUGCAUAAGAGUUGGUUUCUAUGCCCAUUGAUGGCAUUCAAAUUGAUUGGUUCUAUGACAUCUAAUCUCUAUAUAUUGAAAGGCCAAGGUGAGGUCAUGUUGAAUAGGGGUGCCGAAGGUGUAUUUAUAUUAUCCCUAUAUAUCUUACACUUAUGAAAUUUUGUAAUAUAGUUAACACAAUCACUUUUCAUAGUCAAUCAGAAGUAUCUAAAUCACUGCAUUUGUCUUAUCAUUGUAUGCCUAUUAACAUGAGUAACACAAAUUCCCUCAUGAACCUCUUGUAAAGCUUGCUCAACCUAUUUCUCAUUCAAACACUUAAGUAAAGUCCCGUUGAAUGACCUUCUAUAUAAGAUUUCACAAUCCAAGUUAUAAUCCAUGGUCAUCCUUCUCAAAGUCUUUUCAUCCAUCUUGGAGGCUCUUAGAGGAUAUUCUUGAUGCUGGAUAACCUCAUGAUAUCAUUGUACCAUGGUUUUUAAUUUGUUGUCUCUUCAAGUGAGCAAUAAUGAGCUUGAAAAUUUUUGACUUCGAUGUUUAUUGAUUGAAUCUUGCCCCCAAUAUUAAUAUGUGUCAUUAAAGUUAAGGUGGCCAAGGCAUCGACAAACUGAUUCUUAUAUCUGCUCAUAUGAGUGAAUUUUAUCUCAUCAAACUUAUUAGCCAACGUCAAAAGAUAAUCUUGGUAUGACCUUAGUUUCAUCCUUAGUUUGCCAUUCCCCCUUCACUUAGUAGAUAAUUAGUAGUGAAUCUUCAUGAAUAUCUAGUUUUCCAAUUUUUAGCUCUAAAACAGCUUUUAGACUGAUGAUGCAAGUUUUAUAUUCAUCCAUGUUAUUGGUGCAUUCAAACUACAACCUCAUCAAAACAUGGUAUAACUUCUUUUAUGGAGAAAUUAUCACUACUCUAGCCCAUUUCUCUAAUAUAUUCAUUACUCCAUCAAAAUACACGGUUCACCAAUUGUUCAACUCAUCAUCAUCCUCAAUUGCUCAUACAUGCUCAUCAUAAAAUUCAAAAUCUAGUGACUCAUAGUCUUCCACAACAUUAUCUGUAAAAUGGUCAAUAAUUGCACUUCCCUUUUUCAUAACCUAAAUUUGGAUUUCCCCAAAAAUUACCAUUUUAUUUUAAAAUAAAAAGCAACUAAAAAUUAAAAAUUAAAAAUUAAAAAGAUUAGCAACUUGGCAAAAGCAAGCUGAAAAGGGUUUCAAAUGCAUGAAGAAACCAAGCUGAAGUUUUAGACAAAAUCGAAAGCAUAAUUGUACCCAAUUAUACCCAAUACUAGAUGAGAAUGCAAAUUCAAGGUCAAAUUAAAUGAUUAUUGGAUGAAUUAGAAUAAAAAUUAAGUCUAAGGAUUUAAUUAGACUAUUAAUAGGCUAAUUUGAUUUAAUCAUAUGCCCAAUUAAAUGAUUAAUUAAGUUUAAGAAUUAAUUUUGAUCAAAUUAAAAGAAUUAAUAAAGUGCAAAUACUUAAUUAGACUCUUAAUGGGUUAAAUUAAUUUUACUAGGGACUUAAUUUGACAAACGUUAACUUUGGAAGCCUAAUCUAGGCUUAAUUGAGAAGAUUGAAAUUUUAGAGGAUGAAAUUUAAUUUUUACUAGCUCAAUCGGCCAAAAUUAGGAACAAAAUUGCAAGAAAAUUAAAGUUUGGAGGUCAAAUUGAAGAAUUUUAAAAAUCAAGGACCACUUUAUAAAAAACGUAAAAAUUUGAGGGUCCAAUUGAUGAAGGCCAAGGGUAAAAUUGCAAGGAAUCCAAAAGAUUAGGGCUGAUUGGGGGUUUAAUCACAAAGUUCCAAAGGCUUAAGGACCAAAUUGAAAAAUACAUUAUUUCACUAUUCAUCAUCUUUUCCCCAUUUAAACAAGAGAAAAAAGAUGCCAAGUGCCCACCUUUCAACCCUAAUUUCUCCCUCACAUUUCACCAUACCACACAAAUCUUAUACCAACUUAUACCUUAGUAUUUUUACUUUACUCUAAGCCAAAAUUCCAGGUCCAAUGGUACCAAAAACACUUGCAAAUUUUCUACAAAAACAUUAUCCAACACUGUUCUGCUUGUAAAAAUAGCCUUGUAUUCUUUCUUUGUCAGUUGCAGAGUAGGACAAGCUUUUUGUCCAUACCAUGAAAUAUUAUUCCAUCUCAUACCUUGGAAGUUUUGAUUCACUCAAAGUCAAAAUUCCACCUCUAAUAACAUCAAAACCACCUGUAGAUUCUCUCCUAAAAAAGCUACCUAGGAUUAUUCUAUCUGUAAAAAUAGCCUUGGUCCCCCUAUUGUUAGUUGCAGUUCAGGACAAACUUUUGUUCUUAGCUGCAAUAAAUAGCUGAGAUCUAUUCUCUAACAUCAAGGGUCAAUAUCCUAUUAAUGCAUGAACCAUAAAACCUCUUUGUUUCUCCCAUAGAAACCCUCUCAUACUCUCUUUCCAUUGGCAAUAAAUUUACUCACAAGUUCACGAAUGGAAAUGCUCUGUCGCUAAAACUCUCGUCAAUAAUUUUUGGUAUGUUGGUGAGUCUAUCGGUAAUAAAAUGAUGGAUUUACUGAUGGAAAAGGCACGCAAAAAAAAAUACCCACUUCAUUCUGUCAGUAUUUCCCUAAAGAAUUUUGCCAUAUAACCGACAUAAAUACUGUAUGUAAUUCUAUCGGUGAUUAAACAAUGACACAAUGACAUUUGCAGUAAUUCUUUUCUAACUUUCUGGAAUAUACCAACAGAUGUAAUCCAUUGGUAAUACUAUCUAUCUUUAUUUAAAAAUAUUUUUUUAAAAAUCUAUUUAAUAGAAGCAAAGAAUAAUUAAAAUAAAUUAAAAUAAUAUAAAUCAACACUCGAUAAUACUUAGGAACUAAGUUGCAAGGAAAAAAGAAGAAGAAGAAAAUCAACUCAAACAAAUUUGCAACAAAUAAAUAACAUAAAAAAAAAACAACAACAACAAAUAAAUAAAUCAAUGAAAAAAAUCCACCUAACCUAGAAAACCUAUUUCAGAACCCAUAAUCCAGUAACAAAUAAAUUAAUUUAAUUAAAAUUGAACAAAUUUGAAAAACAAAAUCCAACUAAAAUCUAAUAAAAUUGAUCUUAUAUGAAAAUAAUCCUACAACAACAUUCAACAAUUAUUAAGAAUAGAAAAAAUUUAAAAAUAAAAAAAUAAAUAUAAUGUAAAAAAGCACAAAAAAGAAAAGGAAAAAAAAAGAAAAUUCUUACCUUAAUUUAAUUGCGAAUGAGGCUGAGAAGAGAAAAGAAAAAAAAUAAAUUUAUAAAGUAUGUUAAUUAAAAAAAACUAACAAGAGAAAAGAAGAAAGAGAAGAGAAGACAUUCAUGCGCAUGGAGGAGAAGAGAAAAGAAGAGGAGUUGAAGAUAGAAGAGAAAGAAAGAAAGGGACGUUGGUGUUUUUUAUAUAAAAAGAGGAGAAGAAGAAGAAUAAGAUAAAGAAAAAGAAAAAGAAAAAGAAGAUGAAGAUGAAGAAGAGGCAUGCUUAUUAUGAAAUGAGAGAUUAUGGUUUUUUUACUAGGGCAUUUUACCAAUGAUUUUACCGAUAUAUAAUUAAAUAUUAAUGUUUUUAAUUAUUUUAUUAGUGAUUUCAUCUAUAAUAUUUAAUUUAAAUCUUCAAUUUAAUCAAAAAUUUUCGGAAACCCUAAAAAAAUCAUCAACAACUUUUCAAUUCAUCAGUGAUUCUGUCUGUAAUUUUUAAUUCACAUUUUCAAUUUAAUAAAUUUUUCUUAGAAACCCUCCAAAUGUCACUGACGACCUUUGAAUCCAUCAGUGAUACCAUCUGUAAUAUUUAAUUUGAUAAAAAAAAUUUCAGAACCCUCCAAAUAUUACCGACAACUUUUCAAUCCGUAUGUGAUCCAUUCUAUAAAGAACAAUAAUUAACAGUGAAAUUAAAAAAUAAACAAUUCUAGAACUCUAUGGAAAAUACCAACAGAAUUAAUCCGUUGGUGAUUAUGUAUUUAAUUAACACAAUGAAUAGUGUCAAGGAGAAGGGAACAAUUUCAAAGCUCUCAUGAACAUUUUACCGACAGGUAUACAGACAGAUUUUACCAAUGGUAUUAAUACCGACAAGUAUACGGACAUAUUUUACCAAUGGUAUUAAUACCGUUGAUAUAAAUAACACGUCAUCGUACUUUUUUUCUUUUUUUAAUCCCUUUUUUUCCCAUUUUAAUUCCCCUAGUAUAUAUCAAAGGAAUAUUUAUGUCGGUGUUUUCCGAUGGAUAUAACAAGGGAAUAUGUUGUUGGUAGAAUUCAAUGCAAUUUACCGACAAAAACAUUCUGUCGGCGUUGCCAUUUGUAUUUGCCAAUUUUUUGGUAGUGAAAGGGAAAUAAUGCUUGCAAUUGAAGGCUCCAUGGUGGCAAGAUUCACGAUAGCAGCAACAGGGGAAGGUUGUACGACAAUAGCAACAUGAGAAGAUUCCAAAGCAGAGGGAGAAGAAAAAGACUAAGGAUUCACGACAGCAGCAGGACAAGCUUUCUAAGCAGAGGGAGAAGAAAAAAAAAUUCUACACCAUAGGUUGAGAUGAAAAGUCCAUUAAAGAGAAGAAAAGAAAGUUUUAAAGUGUAAUGACUCUAAUAUCAACUUGAGAAUAAUAUGAGGUUUAAUCUAUUAGUUAGCCAACCUUUCUUAUUUAUAUAUGUAAGGCAAUGUACAAUAGUUAAUGUAGAGAUUACAACACAAGAAUACUAAAACUUUCCUAAAUAUAUUUAUACAAGCCUUUCAUAUAUCAUAUACUAUAUUAUUAGAUUACACAAACAUUUAUUCUCUUUCUUAAGGCUGAGAUGCAAUUCAUUAGGCUAAGCUCCAAUAUGAAAUCCAUUGCUUUUUCCAUCGAUCAAUAACUAGCUUUAAAUGGGUUUUUUUCUCUCGUUUUCAAACCAAUUUGUCAUCACCUAGUUUUUGAACCCUAGUUUUCAUCAUUUUCCAAAAAAUAAAAAAAAUAAAAUACAAAACUCACAAAAAACAUGUUUUCAACGCGAUUAGACCAAUGAACAACUAUUUCAUAAUUUUCAACCUUUUUGCAUAUUGUUUUUGUGUUCGCAAGUUUAAAAAAUAAUAAAUAAUAUUUAAAGUCUUGUGGGUUUGUGCUUGUUGCGCGACAACCCUGAUGGUAUGAUGUCAUCAUGGAAUUUAUUUUUAUGGUGAAAUAAGGUUGAAAAUUAAUACCCCGCAAUGAGGUUGGAAGGAUUGGAUCGCAAAAGCUUUAUCUGAUGCAUAAUAGUUUGGUCUCGAUGUGGAUUUUAAUAUAAGUUUGAUUUUCUUAUGAGUUUUAAUGUGCACUGAUCUGUUUGUUAAAUUAUGAUUUUUGGUGAUGUUAUUUUUAAAUUGUGAAUUUUAUUAUGUGUUGACAUUUUUUUUUGUGAAAUUUGUAUGUGCAUGCCUGAUUUUCAUUAUGUUUAAUUUUUUUCAUGAUGAAUUUUUUGAAAGUGUUUUCACAUAAAAAGCUAAAAAAACAUAAAAAUCUAUGAAUAUAAAAAAAAUGACAUGUUCUUUUUAUUUUUUUAUUUGUGUAUUUAGAAUAGACAAACUUUAGCAUGUAAGAACAUUAAACACAUUUUAUCAUUGAAAAUAAACAACAAUGUAUCUUACCUUAAAUAUGAUAUAUAAGGUGAUGUCAGCCCCUCACCUAGAACCUCUAAGACUAAUUAGGGUUUCUAGUUACUAUAAAACUAGGUGGUAACCCCUUUUCAUCUUUUGUUUUUACCCUUUUAACAUGUAGCUCGCCUCGAUGUCCCCUUCAACACCACUAAUCCAAACCCACCAAAGCACUAAACUUUUGUACUUUCCAAGACCCCAUUUUAGUACUCAUUUCACUAGAGCUAGAAUUUUCAAGUUCCCUUAAAAGGGGUAUUUUUUGUUCAUCCUGAUAACCAAAACCCAAAACUUGAUUUGACUGAAAAUGAAUCCAACCCCAUAAAGGAAAUAAUUUUGUUCUUUAUCCUCUUUUAUGUUUUUACUUAUAGUAAAUUAAAUCUAGCCUCCAAGAAGAAUCCAAAGACUAAAGAACCCUAAUUCAAUAAAAACUCAGCUUCUCAUUCUCCAAAAAUAGGUUUUGCCGCAAUGGAUCUGGAUGAAACGAAUACGAGAAUCUAGCAACAGGAAGAGAUAACCACGGUAAACCAUGAAAUCAUAUGAGAAAAAGCGAUUACAAUCACUGGUUUUUUUUGUUCGAUUUGGGUUUAGAAGGAGGGAGAAAUUGAUUUUUCAAUGAGAAGUUUUUUAGUUUAUUGAUGAGAAAGAAGAAGUUAUCUAUCAUUUGAGUUGAUUUUUAAUAUAAUAUAGAUGGGGUAUUUUGUUAUUUCUGUUGAAUUUAGAAUUUUCUUUGACAUGUGAUGGAAAUUGUAAUUUUUCAAAACUUGGUAAGUGGAAUUUUGACCAAACUAUAGGAUGGUAAGGGUAAUUUUUCAUUUAAUAUUUUAAGACUUGAGGGCUCUUUAGUCAUUAAUUAUAAUAUAAUGACAAUCUCGUAAAUAAUUUAAACUGUUUUGUUAAUUUUUUUUAACGAAGAUGUAAAGUAUUGUACAACUUUAAAAAUUAUUGACUCUGGAUGUAAACUGUAAUUUUUAAAAGAAUGGAGAUAAAGUAAAAAAAUAAUUAAACUAUAAAUAAAAAAUCACACUUAGCAUCCUAAUAUCUGGCAUGAAUUGCAAUUAGGAAAUUUGAUGAAAUGACCAUAUUGUCUUUAUAUAUAUUGAAAUGAACCUUUAUAUAUAUAUAUAUAAAUGAAAACUAACCAAACAACAUAUGAGUAGCUUUGUUACCUUUUCUCUUAGACCAAAUCACCCCCACUCUCUCUCAAUUGCAUUUUUCUCUCGUCUUCUGAAUGAAAUUCAUAUCCAAAUCAAUGAAUUUUGUCUAAUUUGAGUUCAUCAAUAACCAUUUAUUUUUCAAAAAAUCCUAAUGGUUACUUGGUGGCAUUUUUAUUAUUUUUGAAUUUCAAUGGCUCUUUAGUCAUUAAAUAAAUCAUAAUAGUAAACCUAUAAAUAAUUAGAUAUGUUUUAUUGAUAUUUUUUUUAAAAAAAGAUAUUAAGUGUUAGCACAUCUAUAAAUUUAAUCACAAUUCAAACCGAUCCUCGUAAUGUCAAAGAUAAUUUUCAAUUAUAGAAAGAUAAUAUCAAAGAUAUUUUUCAAUUUAAUCACAAUUAUUUUUCUCUAAAAAUAUUUUUUCUCGGUUGAAAAUACAAGAUGAGGUUUGUUUUUAUCCUUAUGUGAUAUGGAUAUCACGUUGGAAGUUAAAAGACACAUGUCAAAACUUGCAUUCACUCAUGCGAAAACCAAUAGGGAAGGUGACCCAUACAAACCACAUGUACCAAUAAUAUAUAAAUCUUGCUUUACAUAUGAAAGUAAUAUUGGAUUUCUGAAUGUUAUACACGCAACAAAAAUAAUAAAAUAAAAUUACCCAAGAGUUCUAUUUAUUUUAGAUAGAUCUAGAGUUAUUUAGAAAUUUAUUACCUGAAGAUUUAAUCUUCUUCGACUUUCAAUAAUUCUUUAAAAAAGAUUGUCGCAAACCACAAGUCGUUCAAUUGUUCAGCCUCUAAUGAUAAUCCACACGAACCAUUAGUGAAAAAUCUUUCAAAUUCCUAUUUAGAAGAGAGAGAUUGUUAUGCCUAGAGUGCUAGCUCUCUGUUAUGUGACUUACAUAGUUUUUCUGUCUAAUAGACAACCACUCCUUAAAAAAAUAAGAGGCACAAUAUAUUAUUUAUAAAAAAUAUGAAAAACCCUAUAACUUGGUAAGUAUCAAUUUACCCCUUAAAUAAUAUCUAUAUAUUAUUUAAGGAUAAUUUUAAAAAUUUAAUCAAUCAAGUCUCUACUUGAUUAUUUUCGGACUAUAAUUAUAAUCCCUGAAAUAAAUACAUUUCAAUGCUUAAUUUCUAAAAUUAUUUUCAAUCAAGUCACACUUGAUUAAUUAUCUUAGUUUAAUUUCUAACUAAUAGUUCUUAAUAUGUGUGACUCGUUAUGUUCUUAAUUUCUAAGUCUUUUCAAAUCUCAUUCCACCUUGACCAAUGAUUUCUCAGUUAAUACUAUUUGAUAACAGAUAAAAUAUUUUCUCCAAUUCUCCUAGGAUUAUGAAUUCUCUCUUGAUCACUCAAAUACCUUCAUAUAGUUCAUGUUAUACCUAAUGUUUUCCAUUUCAUCUCCUUGAUUAAGAUAACAUGUAAUGACAUCAAAGCAUAACAUCUUUUAUAUAAGAUAACUUAGUGUCUCAAGUGUAAGGAUCACUUACACAACCGAUAUGUGAGCCUUUCUAUAGACAUAUAUGAUCUCUUCAUAUAAAAUCCUCAUGCAGGUCAAGUUAGUAUAUAUAUCCUAUGAUAAACACUCACAUAUUAGUUCUAGAUAUCCCUUAUAUCUCAGCUUAUGAGAACAACCACUUCCUUUCACACAAAAAAGAACAUAAUAUGUACUAGUCUCUACGACUCUAAUAAAUGUUCAAUAUUUAAGAGAGUAUCGACCAUAAACAUUUUAAGAUCAAUGCUUUGAUGCAAUAGUAAUCUCAUAAUUAUAACAACUUUAUAAUUUUAUUUGUAAAACAUUUUUUUUACUAUAAACAUUAUCUUUACUCUAGAUUCAUAAAUUAAAUAUUAGAUUUAUUAAUCUAAUAUUAUAUAAAUAUUAAUGAUAAAUUAACUUUUUAUUAAUAACAAAUAUAUAUUUACACAAAUAUAAUAAUAAAACUACUAUAUAACUACAUAGUAUAUUAAACUAAUUAACAAGUCAAGGCAAUGACAUGACUCUCUUUUGGAUACAAAUUGAAAUCCCAACGCAAACAGCCAUUGACAUGCAAAUGCUAGACUAUAUACAACCUUCAAUUAGGGCAUGAUCACAAACCCCGCGACUUGUUUUCCACUAUGCAUAAAGCAUAGAUAUUAAAUCAAAGUAGGGAUUGGAAGAUUUACAUGGAAAACUUGGAAUUUCGAGUUUAACCAGAGCCAAGUUUUUAGCAUAAAAUAUAGUAGUUAAAUCCGACUAGAUUUUUAAUGAUCCACUUAAUCUCGUUUUAUAAAUGGUAUCCCUGAGUUCACAUGUUCUUUAUCUCCAACUUGGAAUGGCAUUGUUUCGACGAUCUUCUCAACACAAAACAUAUCCAAUCUUUUACAUGCAAAUGUCGGGUUCAAGGUGGGUGAUGGGAGGAACAUCCGGUUUUGGACUGACUCUUGGCUUGGCUCUACAACCACUCUCCAACUCUUAUUCCCCAGACUGUAUAACCUCUCCCUGCAGCAACAAUCCAGCCUUGCAGAUAUAUGUGAUUUGACAGAUACAUCUUUCAACCUAUCCUGGAGAAGACCCCUCCGGCCUCGUGAAAACUGCAUGAGGGAGAGCUUGAUCGCAGAGGUGCAGCGUGGUCUCAUUUUCUCAGAUGGUGCAAACCGCAAGGUAUGGAAAUUUCACAGCUCUGGCAUGUACUAAGCUCAAUCAGGUUGCGCUCUUUUUGAUAGUCUAUCGGUAACUGAAAAUAAUCACUCCCCUGUUCUGCUAUGGAAUGGUUAUGCUCCUCCAAAAGUGGAUGUGUUCAUAUGGCUUCUUCUUCAUGGCAGUUUGAGUACACGGAUUUUUUUAGCUGAGAGGAGAAUCAUUAAUUAUGAGGAAUCUCACUACCCAUUCUGCUGCAAGGAAAUUGAGACAAUUAAUCAUCUCUUCCAUUGGUGUCCUAUAACAUGGUCUCUUUGGGGUCGUUUCUUGAACUGGUUUGGGUGCUUAGGUUGUUUGCACAAAGACCCAUAUCAACAUCUACAGGAAUGGUCCGGUUUGAUUAAUGGAAAUUUUCAGCGACGUGCUAUUACCCUCCUUUGCAAAGGUCUGUACUGGUCAAUUUGGAUAGCGCGCAACCGCCUAAUCUUCGAAUCCAAGGCUCCGGAUUGGGAUAUGAUUUUUGAUCUCACCUUUCACCAUUUGGCCUUCUGGUUGAAGUCUUCAGUUAGAAAUUUCAGCUAUACAGGCUCAGAUCUUUUUAGAAAUCCUGAAUGUAUUAUGAACUGGACUAAUUAAUUAGGUCCCGCGUCGCUUUGGUCUUCUCUUUUCUUUUACAUUCUCAUUGUAUUUAUCUUUCGUUCAGUUCCACCUACUUAAUGGGUCUGUUUAAUAUAUAAUUCACUCGUUUACUAUCAAAAAAAAAAAAUUAUUCUCUUCAGGAGUUCAAAUGGUGUACAAACUCUUAUUCUCUUCCAGAAGUUCAAAUGGUGUACAAACUCUCACAAUUUUCGAAAACUUCAAAGGGAGCUGAAAUCCACGAGUAGAAGCAAGACAGCAUGGCAUGGCAGCUAGCAUGCCUUCUAUACAGCUUUCCAUGAUGUAAGAGGUGGAGUAUCUGAAUCCUUGAAUGUUAACAUGCCAUAGCCGUACCGAUCUCCCCUUACAGCAUCCGAAGAAGCUAUCGAUUCGAGUUCAGCCAUUUCUUCUGGCGUUAGUUUGACAGACAGAGCUCCAACAUUCUGGUUGAAGUUUUUGAUCUUGGUGGUUCCAGGAAUAGGACAAACAUCAUCACCCUGGUGGUGUACCCAGGCCAACGCCAGCUGCGAUGAAGUGCACUGUUUCCUUGCUGCGAUUUCAUUAACCCGCUCAAAUAGUUGUGUAUUAUGCUCAAGAUUUUCAGGUCGGAACCUAGGCAAACCCU